CCGCCCCUCAUUGGGGAGUAGCCGCCCCGCGAACCGUCCGCACCGCGUUUUUGCCGGUGCGUUGCAGCGGUGCUACGCGGGGGCGCCUGUCAACAGACUUGGCCGUCACGGCCAUGGCAGACGCAGCCUCUGGCCUGGCGAGACCGAUGAUCCACACGCGCCGCAACAGGGCCCGGCGUGUCGUGGGUCGUCGCUCGUUCACAUCUGGCCCGAGGAU
rnacentral:sRNA from 2 species